rnacentral:rRNA from 1 species
CUAAGGCCAGCGAGAGAACUGUUGUUAAGGAACUCGGCAAAAUGACCCCGUAACUUAGGGAUAAGGGGUGCCACCAUCAGGUGGCCGCAGAGAAUAGGCCCAAGCGACUGUUUACCAAAAACAUAGGUUUCUGCUAAGUCGCAAGACGAUGUAUAGGAGCUGACGCCUGCCCGGUGCUGGAAGGUUAAGGGGAUCUGUUAGAGCAAUCGAAGCAGUGAACUUAAGCCCCAGUAAACGGCGGCCGUAACUAUAACGGUCCUAAGGUAGCGAAAUUCCUUGUCGGGUAAGUUCCGACCCGCACGAAAGGCGUAACGAUUUGGGCACUGUCUCAACAACAGACUCGGUGAAAUUGUAAUUCCGGUGAAGAUGCCGGAUACCUGCGACAGGACGGAAAGACCCCAUGGAGCUUUACUGUAGCUUGACAUUGGGUCUUGGUACUACAUGUACAGGAUAGGUGGGAGGCUUUGAAACCAGGACGCCAGUUUUGGCGGAGCCAUCCUUGGGAUACCACCCUUGUAGUACUGGGACUCUAACCAUAGGCCAUGAAUCUGGUCUUGGGACACUGUCAGGUGGGCAGUUUGACUGGGGCGGUCGCCUCCCAAAAGG